CUGUUACCAUGGAGAUUGUAAACAAAACACGCUAAUACAAACUAACGUGUCUACGCGUUAACAUUAGCGAUAGCUCAGCAUCUGACGGCGGUUUUUUAAUGUUUGAUGAAUAAAUAUAGCUGUUUUAUAGGUUGAUCGUUUGCUGAGAUGGACUCGCAGUACGUGAGCCGGACUCUGGCGCUCUGUCUCUCUCAGGGUCUCGCGGAGCUGCUCGAGCAGAGGCCACCGGAUCCCAUCGAGUUCCUGGCGCUCUGGAUCCUCAAAUACAAGCAGAACCAGGAGCUCCAGGAGCAGAUAGAUGCUGCACAAGAUCCUGGAGACCAGACCGAGUCAGAGACCGUGAAAGAGCUCUCAGAUCCACCGAAUGAGGCUGCGGCAGAGCAUCAGGAGGAGCCCGGCGAAGCUGCUGCAGGUGAGGAACAAACCUCUGAGAUCCUGAACACCGACCAAUCACAGUCUCAGGACACGCAGAAGGAAAAUGAUCGAGCAGAUGUCCCAUCCGAAGAGAACGAGCCUGAAGCAGAGAAGACAGAAGAAGACUCUGAUGAGAGACAGACGGAAACUGAGGACAAAGUGAGAAUGCUUGGAGAAAUAAACAUUUAGAAUAUC
rnacentral:lncRNA from 1 species